rnacentral:misc_RNA from 1 species
AAGUCGUAACAAGGUUUCCGUAGGUGAACCUGCGGAAGGAUCAUUAUCGUAACAACGGAGGCGUGAGGGCUGUCGCUGACCUGAACCCUCAGGUCGUGCACGCCCGAGCGUUCUCUUACAUCCAUCUCACCCCAAUGUGCACCACCGCGUGGGGUCCCCCUUUGGCUUGUUCGGAGGGGGGCUUUACGUUUUCACACAAACUUGUAUGCAGUGUAGAAUGUACCUUUGUUUUGCGAUCACGCAAUUAAUACAACUUUCAACAACGGAUCUCUUGGCUCUC